UGAACACGGUCAAUGCCAAAAUAAAUAUCAUAAUACUUGGAAGGAAGGUACUAAUAGCAGGAAGUUUCUGAUUAUCAGGUGCCCAUGAUGUGAUAGGCACACUGUGGCCUGUGCUGGACCAGGAGAUGGGUAAGUCCUUGCGGAUUUCUUCCCUGCUUAAGUGCAUAAAGCAGGUAUAUUGCACAGGUAUUUAUGUUUGCGUGAGUAAUACCCAAUUCCAAUUUUACUUGUGAUCAAGUUCUUUAAGCCACACCCAUUAGAUUGUUCUCAGACUGUCAAAUCAUAAAGAAAGGGCACUGAAUCAUCAUUUAAAACAUUGAUCUUUCCAACAUCAGCCAAAGAUGUCCAGGGAGCUGAAAUGCUAGCUGGUCUUGCUGUGGCCGUGGAGGUUGGAAUUCUGCCAAGAAGAGCAUCUGUGAGAGAGCAAAAUGGCUGUUUACAUUCCUCCUGUGAAGGGAGUUGGGAAAUAAUCUAAGAAGCCUAAUCCAAAAGCAAAGAUGUUCCAUCCAGUCUUCUCUGUGAGAGUCAAAGGACAAACCAUCUGAAUGUUCCAAAAGUGUUUAUAUUAAUGUAUUUUAAAUUAUUCUGAUAAUGUACUUGGCAGAGGCUUAAAGGUGUAAUUACUGAGACGACGUAGAAAUACCAAGUAUUUAUUCAAACAAUAUGCAAUAAUACAAAUGGUAUGGUUGUCACAAUACAAAAAUAUCUAUAAAGUAAAGAGUU